rnacentral:rRNA from 1 species
GGGUUGUGAGGUUAAGCGACUAAGCGUACACGGUGGAUGCCCUGGCAGUCAGAGGCGAUGAAGGACGUGCUAAUCUGCGAUAAGCGUCGGUAAGGUGAUAUGAACCGUUAUAACCGGCGAUUUCCGAAUGGGGAAACCCAGUGUGUUUCGACACACUAUCAUUAACUGAAUCCAUAGGUUAAUGAGGCGAACCGGGGGAACUGAAACAUCUAAGUACCCCGAGGAAAAGAAAUCAACCGAGAUUCCCCCAGUAGCGGCGAGCGAACGGGGAGCAGCCCAGAGCCUGAAUCAGUGUGUGUGUUAGUGGAAGCGUCUGGAAAGGCGCGCGAUACAGGGUGACAGCCCCGUACACAAAAAUGCACAUGCUGUGAGCUCGAUGAGUAGGGCGGGACACGUGGUAUCCUGUCUGAAUAUGGGGGGACCAUCCUCCAAGGCUAAAUACUCCUGACUGACCGAUAGUGAACCAGUACCGUGAGGGAAAGGCGAAAAGAACCCCGGCGAGGGGAGUGAAAAGAACCUGAAACCGUGUACGUACAAGCAGUGGGAGCAGUGCUUAG